GAAUGUUUCGAACCUUCCUCUAGUCAAACAAACAUUUAUACAAGAAAUUGUAGUAAUAUGUAAAGUUUAAGGUCGAACUGAUAGCGAAACUGAGGUUUAGAGGAGAAAGGCUAUUGAUUUGAUAAGGCUUUGCAUGGAAUCCAUCACCU